GUUAACAAGGGUAUGAGAUUACAGCGGCAAGAACUUUGUGUGUAUAGUGGAUAAUGUUCCAAAAGAAGUAUGUUUUUUCCUAUUUUCUUUUUCGAUUUUGAUUUCCUGUUCUUAUUCUGAAUUAACCAAUUUAUGUUAGAUAUAUUCUUCAGACUUGUGCCCAUGUGAUCAAAUCAUAUAUGAGGACUUUUAUCACGCACACCAAGUGUUUGAUGAUAUGUUAAGGAGAGGAUAUCAUCCAGAUGGUGUGACUUGCACAAAACUGAUAAAAGGUGGAUGAGGAUUAAGACCUACUCCAGGAACCAGUUCUCGAACAUGAUGCUUCUGGUCCUUUAUUGUUCUCAGUUUGGGAACUCGUGUUGAGUGGAACUCGCCGAGCUUGGAACACAUAUCGUAUGACAUGGUGGCUGAAUACUUCUCUCUCCUAGGAGCAUUCGAGUCUGAACUAGAGUUGUCUACCCGACAACCUGAGCCAUUUCAUGAGCAAAUUCGAAUUUAAAACUUAGGGGCAUCAUUUGAUUUGUUGGAUUUUAAUCCAACUGGAUUAGCUCAUUUUGGUAGCACAUAAAUGAUCACAACUUCGUAAAUAAU
rnacentral:lncRNA from 1 species